GUGGGGAAUAUUGGACAAUGGGCGAAAGCCUGAUCCAGCCAUGCCGCGUGUGUGAAGAAGGUCUUCGGAUUGUAAAGCACUUUAAGUUGGGAGGAAGGGCAGUAAGUUAAUACCUUGCUGUUUUGACGUUACCGACAGAAUAAGCACCGGCUAACUUCGUGCCAGCAGCCGCGGUAAUACGAAGGGUGCAAGCGUUAAUCGGAAUUACUGGGCGUAAAGCGCGCGUAGGUGGUUUUGUAAGUUGGAGGUGAAAUCCCCGGGCUCAACCUGGGAACUGACUCCAAAACUGCAUGACUAGAGUACGGUAGAGGGUAGUGGAAUUUCCUGUGUAGCGGUGAAAUGCGUAGAUAUAGGAAGGAACACCAGUGGCGAAGGCGACUACCUGGACUGAUACUGACACUGAGGUGCGAAAGCGUGGGGAGCAAACAGGAUUAGAAACCCUUGUAGUCC
rnacentral:rRNA from 1 species